CAGCCGCCACGGUAAUACAGAGGGUGCGAGCGUUAAUCGGAUUUACUGGGCGUAAAGCGUGCGUAGGCGGCUUCUUAAGUCGGAUGUGAAAUCCCUGAGCUUAACUUAGGAAUUGCAUUCGAUACUGGGAAGCUAGAGUAUGGGAGAGGAUGGUAGAAUUCCAGGUGUAGCGGUGAAAUGCGUAGAGAUCUGGAGGAAUACCGAUGGCGAAGGCAGCCAUCUGGCCUAAUACUGACGCUGAGGUACGAAAGCAUGGGGAGCAAACAGGAUUAGAUACCGUGUAGUCCCUGUCUCUUAUACA
rnacentral:rRNA from 1 species